rnacentral:rRNA from 1 species
AGACGUAGGGGGCAAGCGUUGUCCGGAAUUACUGGGUGUAAAGGGUGCGUAGGCGGAUUUGCAAGUCAGGUGUGAAAACUAUCGGCUUAACCGGUAGCCUGCACUUGAAACUGUAAGUCUUGAGUGGUGAAGAGGUAAGCGGAAUUCCUAGUGUAGCGGUGAAAUGCGUAGAUAUUAGGAGGAACACCAGUGGCGAAGGCGGCUUACUGGGCACUAACUGACGCUGAGGCACGAAAGCAUGGGGAGC